AGAACGAACGCUGGCGGCAUGCCUAACACAUGCAAGUCGAACGCUUGUCCGGCUUCGGCCGGGCAGGAGUGGCGCACGGGUGAGUAGCGCGUGGGAACCUGCCCUGUUGUGGGGGAUAACCGAGGGAAACUUCGGCUAAUACCGCAUGCGCCCGGGGAAACCCGGGGAAAGAUUUAUCGCAGCAGGAGGGGCCCGCGUCGGAUUAGGUAGUUGGUAGGGUAACGGCCUACCAAGCCUGUGAUCCGUAGCUGGUCUGAGAGGAUGAUCAGCCACACUGGGACUGAGACACGGCCCAGACUCCUACGGGAGGCAGCAGUGGGGAAUAUUGGACAAUGGGCGCAAGCCUGAUCCAGCAAUGCCGCGUGAGUGAUGAAGGCCUUAGGGUUGUAAAGCUCUUUCGCCCGCGACGAUGAUGACGGUAGCGGGAGAAGAAGCCCCGGCUAACUUCGUGCCAGCAGCCGC
rnacentral:rRNA from 1 species